rnacentral:lncRNA from 1 species
AUAAAUACACGAUCAAGAAGCACCACCAGUGCAACAAGACGAGAGCAAGAAUACAAGUAUAAAAACAUAUACAAGUACAUAAAGAGAGAAGAGGCUAUCUAUUACAUUCAUUUGACUUAAUACAUUCAAUUACAUCUUUUACUUUCUUCCAAAAUAUAAAUACAAUCACUCAAACCUCACCCUAUACCACAUCUACUCUCAAAUACAAAAAGGGUGACAGCUAAUGCAAAAGGGAGGUAGCUAAUUCGACUAGAGUGCCGGGCCCUUACCACGAUCCUCACGCUCACCGGGGACGCCCGAACU